rnacentral:rRNA from 1 species
AGAGUUUGGAUCCUGGCUCAGAACGAACGCUAGCGGGAUGCCUCAAACAUGCAAGUCGUACGAGAAAGCACCUUCGGGUGUUAUUAGAGUGGCGCACGGGUGAGUAACACGUAGCUAACCUACCCUAUCGCUGGGGAUAACUCCGGGAAACCGGAGCUAAUACCGAAUGAUCUGAUUCUCUCUGCGGGGGGAAUUGGUAAAGGCGUAAGCCGCGAUGGGAUGGGGCUGCGGCCCAUUAGUUUGUUGGUGGGGUAACGGCCUACCAAGACGACGAUGGGUAGCUGGUCUGAGAGGAUGAUCAGUCACACUGGAACUGGAACACGGUCCAGACUCCCACGGGAGGCAGCAGUUGGGAAUUUUGCACAAUGGGCGUAAGCCUGAUGCAGCAAUCCCGCGUGAGGGACGAAGGCUUUCGGGUCGUAAACCUCUUUCAGCAGGGAAGAAGGGAAACUUGACGGUACCUGCAGAAGAAGCACCGGCUAACUACGUGCCAGCAGCCGCGGUAAUACGUAGGGUGCGAGCGUUGUUCGGAAUCAUUGGGCGUAAAGCGCGUGUAGGCGGUUUGUUAAGUCUAAUGUGAAAGCCCGGGGCUCAACCCCGGAAGUGCAUUGGAUACUGGCAAGCUUGAGGGCGAGAGAGGAUGGUGGAAUUCCUGGUGUAGGGGUGAAAUCCGUAGAUAUCAGGAGGAACAUCGGAGGC